rnacentral:rRNA from 1 species
GAUGAACGCUGGCGGCGUGCCUAAUACAUGCAAGUCGAGCGAACAGACGAGGAGCUUGCUCCUCUGACGUUAGCGGCGGACGGGUGAGUAACACGUGGAUAACCUACCUAUAAGACUGGGAUAACUUCGGGAAACCGGAGCUAAUACCGGAUAAUAUAUUGAACCGCAUGGUUCAAUAGUGAAAGACGGUUUUGCUGUCACUUAUAGAUGGAUCCGCGCCGGAUUAGCUAGUUGGUAAGGUAACGGCUUACCAAGGCGACGAUGCGUAGCCGACCUGAGAGGGUGAUCGGCCACACUGGAACUGAGACACGGUCCAGACUCCUACGGGAGGCAGCAGUAGGGAAUCUUCCGCAAUGGGCGAAAGCCUGACGGAGCAACGCCGCGUGAGUGAUGAAGGUCUUCGGAUCGUAAAGCUCUGUUAUUAGGGAAGAACAGAUGUGUAAGUAACUAUGCACGUCUUGACGGUACCUAAUCAGAAAGCCACGGCUAACUACGUG